AAAACUUUCAACAACGGAUCUCUUGGUUCCGGCAUCGAUGAAGAACGCAGCGAACUGCGAUAAGUAGUGUGAAUUGCAGAAUUCAGUGAAUCAUCGAGUCUUUGAACGCACAUUGCGCCCCUUGGUAUUCCGGGGGGCAUGCCUGUCCGAGCGUCAU
rnacentral:rRNA from 1 species